GAGUGUGCAGUUUAGUGGUAGAGAGGCUGACUGCAAAUCGGCAGAUCUCCAGUUCAAAUCCGGGCGCGCCCU
rnacentral:tRNA from 1 species